rnacentral:rRNA from 1 species
GAUGAACGCUGGCGGCGUGCCUAAUACAUGCAAGUCGAACGCAUAGCGAAAGGUGCUUGCACCUUUCAAGUGAGUGGCGAACGGGUGAGUAACACGUGGACAACCUGCCUCAAGGCUGGGGAUAACAUUUGGAAACAGAUGCUAAUACCGAAUAAAACUUAGUGUCGCACGACACAAAGUUAAAAGGCGCUUCGGCGUCACCUAGAGAUGGAUCCGCGGUGCAUUAGUUAGUUGGUGGGGUAAAGGCCUACCAAGACAAUGAUGCAUAGCCGAGUUGAGAGACUGAUCGGCCACAUUGGGACUGAGACACGGCCCAAACUCCUACGGGAGGCUGCAGUAGGGAAUCUUCCACAAUGGGCGAAAGCCUGAUGGAGCAACGCCGCGUGUGUGAUGAAGGCUUUCGGGUCGUAAAGCACUGUUGUAUGGGAAGAACAGCUAGAAUAGGAAAUGAUUUUAGUUUGACGGUACCAUACCAGAAAGGGACGGCUAAAUACGUG